rnacentral:lncRNA from 1 species
UAUUUCUCCUCAGGACAUUCAGACAGAUGUUGAUACCCAGACUGAUCUUUCUAAAAGGGCACUGGGGGGUCAGAUCCCGAAUACCAUGGCACAAGAGCUUGAUAAGUUUGGAGAUCUGGACCACAUUCAUAUAGCCUCGAGAAGGUUUGUGCAAUAUAUCCAGCAAUAUAAACAAACGGAUUCCUCCAAUGUCCUGAACUUUCCUUCAAACUGUCAUGUUCUUUCAGAGAGUGUUUCGAGGCCGGUGCGGAGAAAUGGACAGGACUCAUAGCCAUCCUUGAAGAGCUUUGGUUCUGGGUAAAGCUGAAAGAUGAGGAGCUGACAAGGCAGAGGCCGGUGGGAGAAGAUGUACAUACUUUACUGCAGAAACAAGGCUACUGUACGGCCUUGCACAGUGAGUUGACUGGACGGAGACAGGAUAUGAAUCAGACAUGUCUGUCUCUGGCUGUUCAACCUACAACAAUGGAAGUCCAGAGCAAUAUAGAGACGGCUUCAGGUGAGAGACGUGAUCAGGUGUCAGUUUGCGACCUCCCAGAGGAAUACUUUAUUAUAGAGGUUUCUCUUUCAUAGUACAGG